rnacentral:rRNA from 1 species
GAGACAGGUGGUGCAUGGUUGUCGUCAGCUCGUGUCGUGAGAUGUUGGGUUAAGUCCCGCAACGAGCGCAACCCCUGCUUACAGUAGCCAGCAGCAAGGCUGGGCACUCUGUAAGGACUGCCGGGGAUAACCCGGAGGAAGGCGGGGACGACGUCAAAUCAUCAUGCCCCUUAUGGGCUGGGCUACACACGUGCUACAAUGGCGCCAACAGAGUGAGGCGAACCUGCGAGGGGGAGCAAAGCACAAAAAAGGCGUCCCAGUUCGGAUUACAGCCUGCAACCCGGCUGUAUGAAGCUGGAAUCGCUAGUAAUCGCAGAUCAGAAUGCUGCGGUGAAUACGUUCCCGGGUCUUGUACACACCGCCCGUCACACCAUGGGAGCCAGGAAUGCCCGAAGCCAGUGGCCUAACCGCAAGGGAGGAGCUGUCGAAGGCAGGCCCGGUAACUGGGGUGAAGUCGUAACAAGG